UUACAGCCAUAUCACGUAGAAAUACUGGUUACCAUGGGAUAACCGAAGUUAAGCAACGUCGCGACUGGCCAGUACCUAAAUGGGGGACCGUCUGGGAAUACCAAGUGCUGUAAU